rnacentral:rRNA from 1 species
AUUGAACGCUGGCGGCAGGCCUAACACAUGCAAGUCGAGCGGAUGAGUGGAGCUUGCUCCAUGAUUCAGCGGCGGACGGGUGAGUAAUGCCUAGGAAUCUGCCUGGUAGUGGGGGACAACGUUUCGAAAGGAACGCUAAUUACCGCAUACGUCCUACGGGAGAAAGCAGGGGACCUUCGGGCCUUGCGCUAUCAGAUGAGCCUAGGUCGGAUUAGCUAGUAGGUGAGGUAAUGGCUCACCUAGGCGACGAUCCGUAACUGGUCUGAGAGGAUGAUCAGUCACACUGGAACUGAGACACGGUCCAGACUCCUACGGGAGGCAGCAGUGGGGAAUAUUGGACAAUGGGCGAAAGCCUGAUCCAGCCAUGCCGCGUGUGUGAAGAAGGUCUUCGGAUUGUAAAGCACUUAAGUUGGGAGGAAGGGCAGUAAGUUAAUACCUUGCUUGUUUGACGUUACCAACAGAAUAAGCACCGG